GGAAAUGUGGCUUAGUGGUAGAGUGCUUGCCUAGCAUGCAUGAAGCCCUGGGUUCGAUUCCUCAGUACUA
rfam:Dipodomys ordii contig_26871, whole genome shotgun sequence.